rnacentral:rRNA from 1 species
UACGUAGGGUCCGAGCGUUGUCCGGAAUUACUGGGCGUAAAGAGCUCGUAGGUGGUUUGUCGCGUUGUUCGUGAAAACUCACAGCUCAACUGUGGGCGUGCGGGCGAUACGGGCAGACUAGAGUACUGCAGGGGAGACUGGAAUUCCUGGUGUAGCGGUGGAAUGCGCAGAUAUCAGGAGGAACACCGGUGGCGAAGGCGGGUCUCUGGGCAGUAACUGACGCUGGAGGAGCGAAAAGCCGUGGGGAGCGAACAGG